UGACACAGCCCCACACACAAACCCCUCCUGACACACCCGACCCGUUCCCCGCUGCAGCAGCUUGGGCGCCCAGGUCCAGUGGCCCUGUCAUGAAGCAGGUCUGGCCGAUAGGAGGGUGAGGGGGAUGGCCCCUCCAUGCAUGGAUGCACACUUUACUGGAAGUCAGGGAUCCCUUCACCCCCAGAGGGAGAGGGGAGAGGGAGGAGGCAUGUCUGCACAUCACAUCUGGGUCCCCUGCUACUCUCUGUCCUGGAGGAAGCCAUGUGUCCCGGCUCAGCUCCUUUGGAGACUGUCACCAUGGAAGAAGUGAGAAUCCUGUUUAUGCCACAGGGAAGGUGGAGCUGGUCCCCUAUGGAGAUCCGAGUUCCCUGGGAGGGUCCUGGAUGCCCAGCACAGCCCCUAGUGGGAUGCCCAUGUGGUAAUGAUUCUAAAUAGCACAGGAGAGUGUGUGUGUAUGUAUUUGCAUGCAGGCAUGUUUGUUUGUGAAUACCUGUGUGCCUAUGAGGUGUUCAUGUGUGUUUAUGUUUGUGAACAUGUAUGUAUGUGUGUUUGUCUCAUAGCCCAGGCCCCCCAUCCUGUGCUACCUCCUGGGACAAUCAUCAACCCGGUUCUUAGAUCCCACAUACAGCUCUUAAAAAGACCAAUUGGUUUACAGGCACGUCUAUGGCACCACUCUGGAAUCUCAUGAUUGACUUUGACCUCCCCAGCCCCACUGACCAUCCGUGGAUAACUGGACAUUAGGUGAUGGUGGAACUACCCCUCAAAAACAAUCCAGACUUCAUUCCCACAAGGCUAAAAGAAUUUUGUUCAUCUUGCAGGUUGGACCAAUUUAGGGUAGAAAAUGUAUAAACAGAAGCAAAACACAAAA